rnacentral:lncRNA from 1 species
CCCCAAAUGCAAACCUUAUAUAUUUGAUAUAUAUUUCUCAUUAAUCGAUCUUAUAUACAUAUUUCUCAUCUGGUUUUAUUUAGUUUGGAAUAUAUUCAAGGAUUUUCAAUUAAUAUGGGGGUAGGGUUUUUGAGAUUAUAGUUUAAUUAAGACAAUAAUAUAUAAUAAUAACAACAACGAUGAAGCGACUCGUUGUUAGAAGACUAAUCAUGGGAAGACAACACCAGCAUGCAACAACUAUUCUCUUCCGUCUACCUUGAGGACAAGGCGAAAUUCCGGGGAGGUAGAUCGACAUGAUUCAAAUGCGGUAGUGGUGAAAGAUCUGGAAAGAGUGACACAUCUGAUGGAAGAGCUGAAGGAAGAGCCGGCGACCGGAGCAGCAUCUGAAGAACCAGUCGACGGUGAGAAAUCCCUAGGAACGACCACAAAUCAUGCAAGAGAUCCAUCCGCAGAUAUGCCCGAAUAAAGAAGAAAUCGGUUUGGGUGACCGAUCGAUUAUGAGAAAUAAGAAAGAUCGAG